rnacentral:tRNA from 1 species
GCUGUUUUAGCUCAGCGGUAGAGCACUUCCUUGGUAAGGAAGAGGU